rnacentral:rRNA from 1 species
GAUGAACGCUAGCUACAGGCUUAACACAUGCAAGUCGAGGGGAAACGACAUCGAAAGCUUGCUUUUGAUGGGCGUCGACCGGCGCACGGGUGAGUAACGCGUAUCCAACCUGCCCAUCACUUGGGAAUAACCUUGCGAAAGUAAGACUAAUACCCAAUGAUAUCCCACGAAGGCAUCGGAAUGGGAUUAAAGAUUUAUCGGUGAUGGAUGGGGAUGCGUGUGAUUAGCUUGUUGGCGAGGUAACGGCCCACCAAGGCAACGAUCAGUAGGGGUUCUGAGAGGAAGGUCCCCCACAUUGGAACUGAGACACGGUCCAAACUCCUACGGGAGGCAGCAGUGAGGAAUAUUGGUCAAUGGGCGAGAGCCUGAACCAGCCAAGUAGCGUGCAGGAAGACGGCCCUAUGGGUUGUAAACUGCUUUUAGAAGGGAAUAAAGUGGGUCACGUGUGACUUUUUGCAUGUACCUUAUGAAUAAGGACCGGCUAAUUCCGUG